UCUGGGCCACCUAGUCACCAA
rnacentral:miRNA from 8 species